rnacentral:rRNA from 1 species
AUUGAACGCUGGCGGCAUGCUUUACACAUGCAAGUCGAACGGCAGCGCGAAGAAAGCUUGCUUUCUUUGGCGGCGAGUGGCGAACGGGUGAGUAAUACAUCGGAACGUGCCCUGUAGUGGGGGAUAACUACUCGAAAGAGUAGCUAAUACCGCAUACAACCUGAGGGUAAAAGUGGGGGACCGCAAGGCCUCAUGCUAUAGGAGCGGCCGAUGGAAGAUUAGCUAGUUGGUAGGGUAAAGGCCUACCAAGGCGACGAUCUUUAGCGGGUCUGAGAGGACGAUCCGCCACACUGGGACUGAGACACGGCCCAGACUCCUACGGGAGGCAGCAGUGGGGAAUUUUGGACAAUGGGGGCAACCCUGAUCCAGCAAUGCCGCGUGAGUGAAGAAGGCCUGG